rnacentral:lncRNA from 1 species
UUUAUUGCUUAAUUCAUUUUUUCGUUUCUCUCUUCCUUUUCAUACAACCAGAGUUCUAUAUUUAUAUGCAUUAUAGACAACUCUAGAGAUUACAUUAAUCAUGCUUUACAUUUCCAAAGCCACAUUGCAAACAUCAAUUCUACCCUUUACUUCACGUUGAAAAACAAACCAAAUAACCCUUCAAACUUCUUGCUCAAUUUACUAGAUUACUAAUUAUAUCUCAACACCCC